GGGGCGGCCCAUUAAAGCCAGCUGCAGUUCCAGACGGAGCCAGGCCCCAAUCGGAGCACUGGAAGAAUUUUAAUAAUUAUAUCUCAACAAAGUGUGGGCGCCGCCGCCACCACAUCGAGAGCGUGGAAAUCCAGACAUACCAGAAUCGGUCCCAAAAGUGCUCUCCCUGACUCUCUGCACACACGUUUGAGUUGGAUGGGAUCAGACUUCCAGCAACACCCCCUCCACGAAUUCGUGAGUAAUGCGACGUUGGACCGAUUCGAUCGAUGCAAAUGCUCUGAUCAUGUGUAAUUCCGAACGAGCCGAUCUCCGGUAGAGCGGUUAUCAGUUAACCGCGCCCGCUGGGGUCCAUUGCGUCAUCCGCCCUCUGUUUGUACACAGCGAUCGUGACCGAGGCCGUAAUGAAAUUCGCACACAAAUUGCGCCGCCUGCGAAAAGCACUUUCACUCUCACUCUCGUUGCUGGAACAGAGUCCGCCGUAAAGAUCACUUACAAUUGACCAUGAUGGCGCGUCGGAUGGUCCUCCUGCAGCUGCUGCUGUGCACUCUGGUGCAGGGCCACUACUAUUACGACUACGGAUACUGGGAGAUCAACGAACCACCACCGCUGUGUUCUAAUUAUGAGAUGCUAGUUGUCAACACCCACCAGUGCGUGAGGCGCUGCAACAUCGUGUGCCGGGAGCGGGUCUGUUUCGAGGACGGGCCCUGUCCUUGUGCCGAUCAGUACUUGGCCGGGAAUCCGGACGGAGUGGUCUGUGCCGCCGAGUGUCUGCCCGGAUGUCGUGAAGCCGGUGGCUACUGCGCUGCCCCCGACCUGUGUGUGUGCCGCAAGGACAGGCACUACUACUUCGAUCCGCUGUCCCAAAAGUGCCGUCACAGGGCAGCCCGACUGCUGGACCCCUGUCUCGGGCGCUGCACCCAUGGCAGCUGCUCCUCUGAUGGUCAGUGUAUCUGUGCCCAGGGCUAUGAAUUAAGGGCCAGUCUGAUCCACGGAAAUCAAUGCGUUCCCAUCUGUGAUCACAAUUGCGGACCACAAGCCUACUGCUUCGCUCCCAACUUGUGCGCCUGUCGUCACAAGCACCACCAUUAUACCCGCAAAGGAAUUUGUUCCAGGGAUUAUUGACCUUGGAAAGCCAUCUGCAAUCAAGAGGGGCUGUUUUAGGUCCCGCUUAUGUCCCGGAGGAGUUCCCUGAGGGGAAAAGCGGGAGAGCACUGCCAAGACUUAGAGAACGGAAGAGAGGGCCCCAACUGGUUUUGUUAGCGCCGCUCCCACCAUGCCGCAUUACAAAGCUACUUUGUUAUUGUUUAUAACAGAUCGGACACAUGGAGGGCCCGUCGCUAUUAGUUUGAAUAAAUUAUCCACAUAUAUAUCCGAUCGCCACCAGAUCGUCGGAGAAACAAAAGCUAAUCGAAGAAGCUAAGACAUGCGUACGUGUUCUCCAGAGGCGCCGCCAACGAAUACAAAUAUUUUGAGGGGUCUCAAAAGGGAGCUUGGUUUUAAAGAGGGUGUUUGCUAACAAGGGCCCCUCUUAGUGUUCAGCUGGUUCUUCGAUAAGCCACGAAUUUAAUAGUAUUAAUGUUUGCGGGGCCUAUCAAAAUUGGGGUAUUUCAACUGACCCACACCAGAGGGUAUUUCUUAGAUAAAGCUAGAGCAGAGAAAGACAGCGCCGCCGACGGCGGCAGAGGCGGCAUUUUUAGCUUCGCGCGUGUGGCGUGUUUUUGUUUUAAUUGUUGUUGUUCCAUGGGAGGCGGGCCUCUUGGUGUUGGCAACGUCUCACAUAUAUUUUGUUUUUAAUUCCCUCAAAUUUUAAAUAAUUCACUUAAGAACAUACUUAGAAUAAAUUUUUUGAA